UGAUGACAAAUAAGUGUCUCGUUCCAGUGGACAAGGCAAAGAGACUGUAAACUUAACAAUUGAGUGAUCUGAAACCACUGACGCAAGAGACACAAUGUCAAUAUUUGUGACAGCAAUACACAAAGUACACUGAAAA